CCUACNNNNNNNCAGCAGUGGGGAAUCUUGGNNNNNNNNNGNNNGCCUGAUCCAGCCAUGCCGCGUGAGUGAUGNNNNNNNNNGGGUCGUAAAGCUCUUUCGCCAGAGAUGAUAAUGACAGUAUCUGGUAAAGAAACCCCGGCUAACUCCGUGCCAGCAGCCGCGGUAAUACGGAGGGGGUUAGCGUUGUUCGGAAUUACUGGGCGUAAAGCGCGCGUAGGCGGACUAGUCAGUCAGGGGUGAAAUCCCGGGGCUCAACCCCGGAACUGCCUUUGAUACUGCUAGUCUAGAGUUCGAGAGAGGUGAGUGGAAUUCCGAGUGUAGAGGUGAAAUUCGUAGAUAUUCGGAGGAACACCAGUGGCGAAGGCGGCUCACUGGCUCGAUACUGACGCUGAGGUGCGAAAGUGUGGGGAGCAAACAGGAUUAGAUACCCUGGUAGUCCACACCGUAAACGAUGAAUGCCAGUCGUCGGGUAGCAUGCUAUUCGGUGACACACCUAACGGAUUAAGCAUUCCGCCUGGGGAGUACGGUCGCAAGAUUAAAACUCAAAGGAAUUGACGG
rnacentral:rRNA from 1 species